GACGAACGCUGGCGGCGUGCCUAAUACAUGCAAGUAGAACGCUGAAGGAGGAGCUUGCUUCUCUGGAUGAGUUGCGAACGGGUGAGUAACGCGUAGGUAACCUGCCUGGUAGCGGGGGAUAACUAUUGGAAACGAUAGCUAAUACCGCAUAACAGUAGAUGUUGCAUGACAUUUGCUUAAAAGGUGCAAUUGCAUCACUACCAGAUGGACCUGCGUUGUAUUAGCUAGUUGGUGGGGUAACGGCUCACCAAGGCGACGAUACAUAGCCGACCUGAGAGGGUGAUCGGCCACACUGGGACUGAGACACGGCCCAGACUCCUACGGGAGGCAGCAGUAGGGAAUCUUCGGCAAUGGACGGAAGUCUGACCGAGCAACGCCGCGUGAGUGAAGAAGGUUUUCGGAUCGUAAAGCUCUGUUGUAAGAGAAGAACGAGUGUGAGAGUGGAAAGUUCACACAGUGACGGUAUCUACCAGAAAGG
rnacentral:rRNA from 1 species